CCGACAUUGAUCGGAAACUACUGCCUCUCAUCAAAAAAUAUCCCACUACAGCUGACAGCUUCAGAAGAGUCGGAUGAAAAGGCCAUGACCUCUGGGAUGUUUUCCAGCUGAGCAGCGCUCUGACCUUGGUCACUUUUAGACGGGAGACUCCCUCAAAUCGUAAUUUUUCACCUUGUUAGAGGAGCUUCUUUGGCUUAAGACAGCAGGAAACAGAGAAGGGAGAAGGACGAGGAAGGGUAAGAGGAGUGAGGAGGAGAGGAGAUGAAACAUCAGAAGAGGUAAGUAAGAAUGAGACAAAGACAGAGAUAAAAAGGAGGAAAUUGAGUUCGUUUUUUUUGUUUUUUCACAACCUCGUCUAUGUUUCUUUGCUUUGUCCUCCUAUCGGAUGAGAGGAGAGAAGGCAAGAGAGGACAGCAGAGCUCAAGUGACAGGAGGAAUGAUAAAAGGUGGAGGAUUUUUCAUAAUUCACAGAAAGACAUUUUCUUGAUCCUCACCGGAUUACACGAGAGAACGGAAGAGACAGGGGAAGACAGAAAGAAAGACAUAAAACAACAGCAGAGGAGAGGUGGGAGGAGGGAAAGGAGAUGGGAAAUAAGGGCACGGUUGUUACAUUUUUUCUGUGUCUUUAUCUAUAUUUUAAGGAGUAUUUCUGUUCGGUGUUGCUCACAAGUGAUGCUACAUUUCCCUACGCCUCAGCCAGGAUUAUUCUGAUGGAUGACGCAUCAGAGCAUAACACCUGUCACAAAAAAACAGCUCAUUUGACAAAAGCUCAUUUGUGCCACAGGAGAAAGAGCACAGAGACUGUAUCUAACCUGCUACAGGCUGAUCCGCCCACACGCUGGAAACAGUUUAAAACCACUUUUCAACUUUAUCUUUGUGUGUUUGUAUUAGUAUGUACUCCCCUGCAAUUGUCAGAACUCGCUGUAUCUGGUAGGAAGAUUUAUGCAUCCCUGAAAUCCUGCGCCUGAUGAUGCAAGCAGGAUCAAAAAGUGGCAAGCUCAGAGACAUCUAAUCAUUCUCGUUAAAAAGGCAGAGAUAAAAACGGCCAGAUAAAAAUGGCAGGACUUUGAAAUAAGUAAAAAUGUAUUUGUUGGUUAACCUGUCUCCUUUGUUUGCUUCUGCUUAGCCUGCAACAGCAUCCGACAUGCAUUUAAAGUUGACAAUCAGUGAUGCUGUUUUUUGACAAACCAAGCUGAAUAAUAUAGAUUAUUCUGAUUUGUGACACAUUACAAAAAUGGUAAAGGUGGUGAUCACACUGCAGCUCUGGUCCUGAUCACACUGAAGCAUUUUGCAGUGAGAGCUGCCUUCCUGUUCAUGGAGCAGGUAACACAUCACUGUUCAACCCUGUCUCCUUGAAAUUAUGUUCAUAUACGACUAAAUUGCAACAGUAAAUAUGUUUUGCUGCAAGGGUAAUGCUGACUGAAUUACAUUUUCUCUCAACAUAAUGAGACAAUUGUUUUUACUUGUUUUCCAAGCUGCAAAAAUGCUGAUGCUGAACAUAUGAGGGAAAUGUUCAGUGACAAGGUAGUUAUUUUUUAUCCCCACCAAAACAUCUGAUCUUGCAGAACAAUAUCUGCUUGUAGUAACAUAAUCUAGACAGCGAAUGCCAAUGCAACAUA